GCAGUGGAAGGCGAUACUGUUGGAAUCGAGAGAGCGGGAGAAGAAGUCAGUUCGAGUUUCAUUUGGAUCAAUCUUGAAAGCUUGGCUAUCGAAGGGGUAUUGUUCGGUUUUGUUGUGAGGAGGAAGAGGACCUGCGUUUUGGAUAACUGCGUUUUGAGCCAAGGAGAAGAUGAGGGACUUGGGUAUAGGGUUGUGAUCGAUACUUAGUUUUUGGGACGUGUUAGUGCAAUAAUGUUUGCGAGAAGAGGUCCAAGAGGCUGCGCUUAUGCAGAUCCAGAACGACA